AGCCCGUUAGGCCGUGCUUGGUUAGAGCGUCGUGUUAUUAACGCGAAGGUCGGGUUCGAUCCCCUCACGGGCCA